AUGUCUGAAGAAAGAAUGGGAAGUUUGUAUUUCCUUUUAAAUGGAUGGAAUGUGCACAUGUGAAAACACAGAAUGUUUGUGCAUCACCUGAGGUAUCUUAGCAUCAAAUUGUA
ensembl:snRNA